rnacentral:rRNA from 1 species
CUACGUGCCAGCAGCCGCGGUAAUACGGGGGGUGCGAGCGUUAAUCGGAAUAACUGGGCGUAAAGGGCACGCAGGCGGUGACUUAAGUGAGAUGUGAAAGCCCCGAGCUUAACUUGGGAAUUGCAUUUCAUACUGGGUCGCUAGAGUACUUUAGGGAGGGGUAGAAUUCCACGUGUAGCAGUGAAAUGCGUAGAGAUGUGGAGGAAUACCGAUGGCGAAGGCAGCCUCCUGGGAUAACACUGACGUUCAUGCUCGAAAGCGUGGGUAGCAAACAGGAUUAGAUACCCUGGUAGUCCACGCCCUAAACGAUGUCAAUUAGCUGUUGGGCAACUUGAUUGCUUAGUAGCGUAGCUAACGCGUGAAAUUGACCGCCUGGGGAGUACGGUCGCAAGAUUAAAACUCAAAGGAAUUGACGGGGACCCGCACAAGCGGUGGAUGAUGUGGAUUAAUUCGAUGCAACGCGAAGAACCUUACCUGGUCUUGACAU